UACGUAGGGUGCAAGCGUUAUCCGGAAUUAUUGGGCGUAAAGAGCUCGUAGGCGGUUUGUCACGUCUGCUGUGAAAACCCGAGGCUCAACCUCGGGCCUGCAGUGGGUACGGGCAGGCUAGAGUGCGGUAGGGGAGAGUGGAAUUCCUGGUGUAGCGGUGGAAUGCGCAGAUAUCAGGAGGAACACCGAUGGCGAAGGCAGAUCUCUGGGCCGGCAUUGACGCUGAGGCGCGAAAGCUAGGGGAGCAAACGGG
rnacentral:rRNA from 1 species